UAGUCUCCCUAGCCUCUAGUUGUACAAUGCAUAAGGUUCCACUUGACUUUGCUGUGUUCCAGAAACAAAAGCUGUGAAAUACAAAGCUAAUAGCUGCCCAGGGUAUAAAGAGGCUAUAAAGAGAAAUGUCACUGGUGGCCUCUGCAGCCUAGGCCAAAGGUGUUGCAUUCAGUAAAGAGCUGACCAUGUAACAGGAUGUUUGGGGUUUGUCAUCUACCUCAUUAAAACAUCUCACCCCAGUCAAAACUGCAAAUUGCUUUUCUAGAUCUUUGUCUUAAUCAACUUUAAAAGCCCUAGGUAAAGGUGUUGUGUUUAUCACACAGCUGAAGUGCUGACACUCAGCAGCUGGGAGCUGAAGCCAGAGGGGAGACUUCCUGUUAGCCAGCAGAACAAAGCCUACGUAUGAACUGGUGCUUCACACUUCUGCCUCACGUCUGAAGAAGGAUCACACCACUGCUUCUACUGAGCUUGUGCCAGAACAGGAAUGUGUCUGUCCAGGGCCUGCCUUACCUGUGGUGGUGGUGCUAUGGUGUUGCAGUCCCAAUGGGAGGGCUUCUGAGGAAAUUCUCCUUAGGGUUCAGCCAACUGCACAGGAGUUAAGGACUUAAAUGAUUGCCUGGAUGUUACAGACAGCUUCUGUCCUGACAAUGUUUCUUGUCAAUGUAAAGAUGAAAAACCUUUUUGCAGGUGUGAUUACUACAGAGUGGACUGGAAGGAAUAUUGGUACAUGGGCCCCAAAUGUAACCAUCUUUGGAACACCCUAGAUUUCAUUUUAGUAGCUACUCUUCCUGGAAUAGGACUGGUUCUCAUAGUUGUGGUAGUAUUUCUCGCUGUCAUCUACUUUCAAAGUAACAAUACUGGGUGAGUUACUGUGGAUGCAGUUGGAAGGGCUUCUAUAAUCAAAAUGGCAGGAAAGCAAAAGAAGCCUGGUUCUCUAAUUGGUUUUUAACCUCUGGGUAUUUAAACCAACAGUCAUGCCAUGCAGUGUCCUCUGCCAAAAUCCUGUUCACACAAUAUAAAAGUAAAUCAAAGCAUCCUCCAGAGCACUGAAGAGUUACUCAGCAUUUUACUGCUGUGUGCACAACUUCACUCUUGAGUCGUUGCUGCUCUUCUUUGGGUCUAACCAGGCAAGCUUUAAAGAUUGAUAAGCACAUUUACUGCUUUAGCUCAUGACUACCAAGUCUGCCCUGCUGAUUUAUUUGCUCUUAAGGGUUGGUUUUCUUUCCACAAGUUCUUUUUUUUUAUUAUUUAUAAACACUGGCAGGAGCCUUGGUGAUUAAACACAAUUUCUCCCAUUCUUUCGCCCUAGGCAUUGGCAAUUUGAGCAGCUUUUUGCUUUCAACACUUGAUCUUAUUUUUUCCAGCUGAUGCCUGUCCCAAAUACAGACACAAUGUGUUUCUUCCUUCAUUGAGCUCCAUUAGUGUGCAUCACUGGUACUUCCUCUGACAUAGAAAAAGUGUGAGAGUACAUAGCUCUGUCAUAGUCAUUGCCACAGUGCAUCUAAACCUAUGAUACAGUGCUGAACUGAUCUGCAGUACAAAAGGAGUUGCCAAAACUGUUGCUAAUGCUCUAAUUUCAUGUUGUUGUCCCAAGCAGGAAGCAGACAGCUUCUCCAUACCAGGAAGCACAACGUAACCCUGCAUUCACUGCUGAAAGGGAUGGUAGCAUGGGGCACCAGCCAAGGGAUAACUGGGUUGGACAAAUUCCAAAAGUUGUAGUAAGACAAGACCUUGAUGUCCCAAGCCCAAGUCCAUCAGAGAAUUACAGGUAUGCUGCAGAUUUUCUGUCUCGUUGCUCCUUUCCACUUUUUAUUCUGAUUAGGAGUUUAAGAAUUACUUUGUAGUGUUACCAGUAGCAAAGGUCCAGUAGGUGGCCACGCUUUGGCCUGGAUUGUUCACAUACAUUUGGUGGCUUAAGUCUUUUGAUAGGAA